UCAAAAACACUUUACAUCGAUUGCAAUUUUUUUUGCCUUUUUCUAUUGUUCAUUGGAAUUUUUACUUCCGUACACUACGGCACAUUUACUUCUACGAAACAUGGUAAAAAAAUUCAUAUAUUUUCAAUCUACAUUUCUUGUCACCAUGUUCAGAUGCAAAUUGCCUUGAUUGUUUUCUUUUUUGUGCCAUUUGCAUUAAAAAGGAUCCUUUUUCCAUUUGGGAUUUUUUUGGUAAUAUACUGCUUUUCAUUCUCUAUGUAUCACAAACAGUUUUGAUUUUGGACCAUUGCAAAAAAGAAAAAGAAUCAUAGCAUGGCAAAAUCUGGCUUUAUUAGUCACAGCCAGAAGUGGGUUUUUUAGUCACACUAAAAUUGGGCUAAACUGGGCUUUAUUUUUUCUUUUAUAUUUUGGCUCCAGGGUCCUUGUCAGGUAGAGGAAGGGGAAAAUGACGGACAUGAGGUUGGCCAACAGCAGAACAGCCCGCUCGAGAAGCUCUCCACCGGCGCCGGCGCCGGCGCCUCUCCGCCGCCGCAUCCUGCUCGACAGCGACACCUUCAGCCGCCGCGGGUGAGUCCGUGAGUGAGUGGCGGAGUCGCCUUGCUCCCUCCGUCGUCCCCGUGCAUCUCCCGGUGCGGGCUGCCACUGCCGGCGGCCAGAUCUCCUGACUGUCGUUGAUUCCGAGGUGAGGUGAUUCCGUGACACUCCUCAAGUCGACCGGUUUCCCCCUCUCGUACGCCUCUGGUUGUCUCAUCUCACUCUUCAUCUCCUCAACAUCCAUCCCCACACUCACGCCCGCUGACUGUUCGACGGAAUGUCGGAGACGGCUGUGGCGGGCGGUGAUGAUCGCAUCAGCGCACUGUCCCUUGACGUCCGGCUGCGCGUGCUGUCCCGCUUGCCGGCGGACGAGGCCUCUGGAGGAAACUGCCCAGCCUGCGCCUCGUCCAUUCAAGGGUUUUCAAGAGUUCCCACCCCAAGCGUUUCAACAAGUUCGUGAACCAUCUGCUCCUCCUCCGCGGUCACCUACCUCUCGAAAAGUGCGAGAUCUGGGCCUACAGUGACGCCCAUGAGGUUGACCCGUACUCAUAGGCCAAUUUGUGGAUACAGUACGCUCUGAUAUGCAAAGUUGGGAUGCUCGAUGUCGUCGUUGACAGAGAUAUCCAUGGCUUAAAGCUCACUGUGUCUCUCGCAUCCGAGCACCUGACGAUCCUAAAUCUUUACUGUGUUGACUUAGAGCUAUGCUCUGCUCUUGUCGACUCCCAACUGCACCUUGAUUUCGCAAGCUGUCCGUUGUUGGUGGAUCUAGACAUGGUUUGUUGCAAUGUUCAAGUGCACAGGAUCUUCUCCGAAUCGCUAAAGCGGCUGCGCGCCACCGAUUGUACCUUUGCUGGUUGUGGUGCUUCCCGCACUAGGAUCUACGCACCAAGUCUUGUUUCACUGUACCUUAGUGAUUUCACUUUGGCUGCUCCUGUGCUUGAAAGCAUUCCUUAGGCUUACUGACAGUUGUGGUGACACUUGUGGUGUUACCGAUCCCGGGGUACAGAAUUGUGGUAAUCAAAUCUGUGAAGGUUGUCAUGGUUAUCCUGCUGGUGAGUACCAGUGUGUGCUUCUCAAUGGCUUGUCAGAUGCUAUCCAUCUGGAGUUGAUAGCUGGUUCUAAAGUGUUUAUCUACAGAAGGGAUUUAGCAUGCUGCCCCAUAUUUGGCAAAUUUAAAACUCUGUUACUCAACGAGUGGUGUGCAGCUAUUGACCUACGUGCAUUAGUUUGCAUUCUCCAGCACUCGCCUAUUCUUGAGAAGCUGACACUUCAGCUUCAUAGGGAUAAGCGGCACCACUUCAAUGCUGUACGGGCCGAAGGAAACCAUGAUCUGACAGAAUCAUUUACAUGUGCUCACCUUAAGACAGAUAUCAUUGAACGUCCUCGCAAACGGAAUAAAGAGAUCAAUGAGAGGGCUUGGGAAAUUUCAAAGAUCUUAAACUAAAAAGAAACGAAGGGAGUACAUGCGGCAUACGCCCUGAACAGAUUACCUUCAAGCGCACACGAUCAAAAGAUUGCCUCUUCAGCUGGGAGAGGUCAUUACACACCAUAUAUUCGUCCGCUCGUUAUGAUUCCUACCCUUACAUCCACUGAUGACAACUAAGAUCAAUGCAUGUUCGCUCGAGAUGAUCUUGUUCAAGGCAUCUGUGUAAUGCUGGCUGUUAUCGCUCAGUCUGUGUUAUCUUGACUCUUUGGGUCUGUUGUUAAGCUGGAAAUAUGUCCUUGUUGAUUGACCAUCUGGUACAACCAAGUGAGACGGUUUACGAGUUGUGCUUAUGACGUUGCCAAAUCAUUGCUACAUAGUAUAUUUUUCUCACUGGUAAUGGAAAUAUUUUUGGGCGUUCAUAUUUUCUUUAAUGGAUCAUCUGAUUGA